rnacentral:rRNA from 1 species
AGUGAACGCUGGCGGUAGGCCUAACACAUGCAAGUCGAACGGCAGCACAGUAAGAGCUUGCUCUUACGGGUGGCGAGUGGCGGACGGGUGAGGAAUACAUCGGAAUCUACUUUUUCGUGGGGGAUAACGUAGGGAAACUUACGCUAAUACCGCAUACGACCUACGGGUGAAAGCAGGGGAUCUUCGGACCUUGCGCGAUUGAAUGAGCCGAUGUCGGAUUAGCUAGUUGGCGGGGUAAAGGCCCACCAAGGCGACGAUCCGAAGCUGGUCUGAGAGGAUGAUCAGCCACCAUGGAACUGAGACACGGUCCAGACUCCUACGGGAGGCAGCAGUGGGGAAUAUUGGACAAUGGGCGCAAGCCUGAUCCAGCCAUACCGCGUGGGUGAAGAAGGCCUUCGGGUUGUAAAGCCCUUUUGUUGGGAAAGAAAAGCAGCAGGUUAAUACCCCGCUGUUCUGACGGUACCCAAAGAAUAAGCACCGGCUAACUUCGUG